GCCCGGCUAGCUCAAUCGGUAGAGCGUGUGACUCUUACUUCAUCGCAAGAUGUUCCAGUUCCAAUCACAAGGUUGGGGGUUCGACCCCCCCGUUGGGCU